rnacentral:rRNA from 1 species
CAGGCCUAACACAUGCAAGUCGAACGAGGUAGCAAUACCUAGUGGCGAACGGGUGAGGAAUGCUUGGGAAUCUACCGUGUAGUGGGGGAUAACGUUUCGAAAGGAACGCUAAUACCGCAUACGUCCUACGGGAGAAAGGGGGGGAUCUUCGGACCUCUCGCUAUACGAUGAGCCCAAGUCGGAUUAGCUAGUUGGUGGGGUAAAGGCCUACCAAGGCGACGAUCCGCAGCUGGUCUGAGAGGAUGGUCAGCCACACUGGAACUGAGACACGGUCCAGACUCCUACGGGAGGCAGCAGUGGGGAAUAUUGGACAAUGGGGGCAACCCUGAUCCAGCCAUGCCGCGUGUGUGAAGAAGGCCUUCGGGUUGUAAAGCACUUUAAGCGGGGAGGAAGGGCGCCUGGAUAAUACCUGGGUGCAUUGACGUCACCCGCAGAAUAAGCACCGGCUAACUCUGUGCCAGCAGCCGCGGUAAUACAGAGGGUGCAAGCGUUAAUCGGAAUUACUGGGCGUAAAGCGCGCGUAGGCGGUUAUGCAAGUUGGAGGUGAAAUCCCCGGGCUCAACCUGGGCACUGCCUUCAAAACUGCAUGGCUAGAGUAUGGGAGAGGAAGGUAGAAUUCCAGGUGUAGCGGUGAAAUGCGUAGAGAUCUGGAGGAAUACCGAUGGCGAAGGCAGCCUUCUGGCCUAAUACUGACGCUGAGGUGCGAAAGCAUGGGGAGCAAACAGGAUUAGAUACCCUGGUAGUCCAUGC